rnacentral:lncRNA from 1 species
ACGUAUCCUAUCAAUGAAGUGUAUAGCUAGCUAAAGGUUUUGAUGUUGUUCUUUGAUAGCUCAACGUAUUAUAUUAGUUUUAAAUUCAAAUGUUACAUGCAUACACGAAACAUUUAUCGGUGUCGAUAUUCUUACAACACUUUGUACAAAACUUUGCACAAAACGGUGCGUUUUGUACAAAGUAUAAAACCCACUUUUUACUGCACAGUUUAACAACACACACACACAUAAGGGGAACAAAACUCAGCGUCUCUCUCUCCCAUCUUCUUUCUUUCUCACGAAACCUCACCAAACAGCUCAGAUCUUUCUCUCUCAUUCCCACGCCAGUAACAGUCUCAUCUCCGUUCUCCCUUGUCGCGUAAAUGAUGAAAAAAAUGUGCUAUAAAUGAGGGAGACGCAUAAAUUAUAGCAUAAGCUCAAUGUUUAGGGGCUGUAAUUUUUUUAAAAAUUCUUUUCAAAUAAUGGUAAAUAUAAUUUAUUCAACAGAGUAAAAUAAUUUGAGAGAACAAACUAAAUUUUCCAGGUAUUUCAUCAAACAAUCAAAUCAUAACAUGAAAGGUUGAAAUAAACAUGAUUCCCAAAGGCAUCGGGUUUUGCAUAAUUUGAUUCUAAUUUACAACACUCAAGCAAAAGACCACCACCAUCCAUAGGUAAUUCAGCACAAUGUCUUAAACGAGUUAAAGAUUUCAAUUAGAACAAUGAAUUGAAACGGGUGAGAGAGAGAUCUUAUGGUUGCUGCGCGGCGAGAGAGGUUAGAAUUGGGACUAUUAGCGGCGUGGAGACUGGAGAGAGAGAUCCGAACUGUCUUGUGAGGGAGAAAGGAGGCCAGAGAGAGAGACCCGGGUUGUCUCGUAAGGAAGAAAGGAGGACGGAGGGAGAGAGAUCGGAGCUAUCUCGUGAGGAAAAAUGGAGGAAGAAAGGAGACUUCUGUUGGGUUUAUUAUAUAAUAUUAUAUUAAUAAGGAGACUUCUUGUUGUGUGGAGAACGAAGCUACUGGGUUUUUGUUGCAGUGAAAGGAGGCAGACGCGAGUGGAAAAAUUAUAUUGUGAAUUGGCGUGUGUGUCCGUUGUUACAAAGAGCAUUUGAAAAGUUGCACAAAACGCACCGUUUUGUGUAAAUCUUUGUGCGCAAAUUUGUGAGAACAUCAUUUUCCAACAUUUAUUAUAUUGAAUUUAAAGCGACAUCCUAUCCUUAAAAAAUAAUAAUAAAAAAUAAAAAGACAUAAUCUGUUUCAAGUGAUCAGUGAUCACUUAGUUUUAUAUUAUAUGUCCAGAAAUAAUCAUCGACCCUCAUUUCCUCCCUCUCUAUGAAUAUAUGACCCAUUAAUAAACCUCUACUUACGUGUUAUAGUUUCUGCGUGCGUUUAUUGACAUUUCAAAGACUUGCGAUUCGUUCAUUCUAUGCGCAGUCGAAGAGAUGAAGCCUCACUUGGCACCUAAGCUCUCAAAAGUCAAAAGUUUUGGUCGCCGUCAGCAUAACUGUACUGUCUUCAGCGGCGGCUCUUGGAGACCGUGGGGGAGGCAGAGGAGGUGGUGGUGGAGGCGGUUCUGGCGGCAGCCUCGGUGGUGGCAGAUGAGUUAUUGGAAACGGAGGAAGAGUUUAUGGUGAAUGCAAUACGGCCUUGCUCAGUUUAACUAAGUUUGUGUGCUGCCCUAUUUUAGUUUUAUUAGUCAGGGAAAACUUUUGAGUAGUCUUGUUGUAUAUACCUUUUUUUUUUUUUCUCCCGUUGGAUCUUACUAUGUAUAUCUUCCAAUUAAUUAUAUAAAAGUAAUUAUUUACUUUACUAAAUUUUAAUGCGAGAAGGGGUGAAUAAAGAAAGUGUUGUUA